GACCUGCAGAACACGUUGGUGGAGCCGUCCUGGACCAUGGUACAUGAACGAAAUUAGGUUUACCAGGGCGCCAUGAGUUUGAGAUCUGAGCGGUGAAAUUCCUCUAGAAGAACAUCGGCUCUUCUACAAGGUGUGGCCUCCGGCGACUCGACGAGCGGCUAGGCAGCGGAAAGAGGGGCAUACGCUGUAGGACACCGGAAGAGAGCGCCGCUUCACCGGCGACAUCAAUGGACUCCCCUUGGAUCUAAUCAGCAGUUUGGCUAUCUAACGGAGACAACAGCUAAUGGUGCAGUCCCAGGAGAAAAAUGGUGAGUGCGGCUAUGUCAGGUCAGUUCAGCCGGAUCGAUCCGUGAUGGGCAUCGUUGUAGCAGUAGCCGGCGCGGAUGAAUCAGAAGCUGAAUGACAAGCUGGAUCCGUUAGUCCGCUGGAAAUAUGAAUCCAAAAGCUCCGGGACUGACCGAGAGGUGAACUUUAGUACCCAAAGUUGGUACAGUUUAGCAUUAGGACAGUGUGAGCUGAAUGACUAAAUCCACAGAUGGUUCGCCAGCACCUUUGUUACCUUAUUUCAUUGCGUCCACAUUGUCGGUAUUACAAGUUCAUUCAAAUUGGGUACAGAUUUUGUA